rnacentral:rRNA from 1 species
CACGGGGGGAGCAAGCGUUGUUCGGAAUCACUGGGCGUAAAGGGCGUGUAGGCGGUCAGGUAAGUGGGACGUGAAAUCCCUCGGCUCACCCGAGGACCUGCGUCCCAAACUGCUUGACUUGAGUAUGGGAGAGGAUGAGGGAAUUCCUGGUGUAGCGGUGAAAUGCGUAGAUAUCAGGAGGAACACCGGUGGCGAAGGCGGGUCUCUGGGCCGAUACUGACGCUGAGGAGCGAAAGCGUGGGGAGCGAACAGG